CAACGGGCUCACGGUGGAUACCUAGGCACACAGAG
rnacentral:rRNA from 2 species